rnacentral:rRNA from 1 species
UUGAGUCGUCCUGCGCGGAAGAUGUAACGGGGCUAAGCCAGUUACCGAAGCUGCGGAUGCACAGUUUACUGUGCGUGGUAGGAGAGCGUUGUGUAAGCCUGUGAAGGUGUCUGGUAACGGAUGCUGGAGGUAUCACAAGUGCGAAUGCUGACAUGAGUAGCGUUAAAGCGGGUGAAAAGCCCGCUCGCCGUAAGCGCAAGGUUUCCUACGCAACGUUCAUCGGCGUAGGGUGAGUCGGCCCCUAAGGCGAGGCAGAGAUGCGUAGAUGAUGGGAAACAGGUCAAUAUUCCUGUACCGAUCAAUAGUGCGAUGUGGGGACGGAGAAGGUUAGCUCAGCCACCUGUUGGAAUAGGUGGUUCAAGCCUGUAGUCGUGCCUGGUAGGCAAAUCCGCCGGGCUAAGAUGAGGGGUGAUAACGAGUCUGCUUGCAGACGAAGUGAGUGAUACCCUGCUUCCAGGAAAAGCCACUAAGCUUCAGCUAUUGACGACCGUACCGCAAACCGACACUGGUGCGCGAGAUGAAUAUUCUAAGGCGCUUGAGAGAACUCAGGAGAAGGAACUCGGCAAAUUGAAACCGUAACUUCGGGAGAAGGUAUGCCCUGAUUAGGUGAACUUGUACAGAGGGAGCCGAAAGGGGUUGCAAAAAAUCGGUGGCUGCGACUGUUUAAUAAAAACACAGCACUCUGCAAACACGAAAGUGGACGUAUAGGGUGUGACGCCUGCCCGGUGCUGGAAGAUUAAAUGAUGGGGUGCAAGCUCUUGAUUGAAGUCCCAGUAAACGGCGGCCGUAACUAUAACGGUCCUAAGGUAGCGAAAUUCCUUGUCGGGUAAGUUCCGACCUGCACGAAUGGCGUAACGAUGGCCACACUGUCUCCUCCUGAGACUCAGCGAAGUUGAAAUGUUUGUGAUGAUGCAAUCUCCCCGCGGAAAGACGGAAAGACCCCAUGAACCUUUACUGUAGCUUUGUAUUGGACUUUGAACGGAUCUGUGUAGGAUAGGUGGGAGGCUUUGAAGUGUGGUCGCUAGAUCACAUGGAGCCAACGUUGAAAUACCACCCUGGUGCGUUUGAGGUUCUAACCCAGGUCCCUUAUCGGGAUCGGGGACAGUGCAUGGUAGGCAGUUUGACUGGGGCGGUCUCCUCCCAAAGCGUAACGGAGGAGUUCGAAGGUACGCUAGUUACGGUCGGACAUCGUGACGAUAGUGCAAUGGCAUAAGCGUGCUUAACUGCGAGACUGACAAGUCGAGCAGAUGCGAAAGCAGGACAUAGUGAUCCGGUGGUUCUGUAUGGAAGGGCCAUCGCUCAACGGAUAAAAGGUACUCUGGGGAUAACAGGCUGAUACCGCCC